CAAUUUUUCCAUCCCAAAUCACUAAUGAGCGUGAGUCUAUGAUAAUGGUGAAGAAACUUUUUGCUACUUCUGUUUCCUGUAUAACAUAUAUAAGGGGACUAUUUCCAGAGAGUUCUUAUGGAGAACGCCAUUUAGACGCUCCUUGUAUUCCAAGAAAGAAUGCAUCUGAGACCAUUGCUACUUAAUUACUUCAAUUUUUCGGACUCUCACAUUUGCCUACAAAGCUCGGUUGUGAUAACAAUUUAGGACCUCUGGUUGAGUUGUCACUUCAAUGGGAACAAUCCUUUGGAAAGUGAAGAGUCACAAGCUUCUUUACCUCAAUUUAAAAAUCCUCCGAGAAGAUAAAAAAUGCCCCGGGUCACUGCAUAUUAUCAAAUGGAUCCAAGGUUGUUUUGAUGCGCUGGAAAAGAAAUAUCUACACAUGGCAGUACUGACACUUUACACAAGUCCCAAUGAGCCCGAGAAAGUGACAGAGAUAUAUCAGUUUAAAUUCAAUUACACAAAAGAAGGAGCCAGUAUGGAUUUUGGCAGGUA